GCUCUUAUGAAGUUAGCGGCGGACGGGUGAGUAACACGUGGGUAACCUGCCCAUAAGACUGGGAUAACUCCGGGAAACCGGGGCUAAUACCGGAUAACAUUUUGAACUGCAUGGUUCGAAAUUGAAAGGCGGCUUCGGCUGUCACUUAUGGAUGGACCCGCGUCGCAUUAGCUAGUUGGUGAGGUAACGGCUCACCAAGGCAACGAUGCGUAGCCGACCUGAGAGGGUGAUCGGCCACACUGGGACUGAGACACGGCCCAGACUCCUACGGGAGGCAGCAGUAGGGAAUCUUCCGCAAUGGACGAAAGUCUGACGGAGCAACGCCGCGUGAGUGAUGAAGGCUUUCGGGUCGUAAAACUCUGUUGUUAGGGAAGAACAAGUGCUAGUUGAAUAAGCUGGCACCUUGACGGUACCUAACCAGAAAGCCACGGCUAACUACGUGCCAGCAGCCGCGGUAAUACGUAGGUGGCAAGCGUUAUCCGGAAUUAUUGGGCGUAAAGCGCGCGCAGGUGGUUUCUUAAGUCUGAUGUGAAAGCCCACGGCUCAACCGUGGAGGGUCAUUGGAAACUGGGAGACUUGAGUGCAGAAGAGGAAAGUGGAAUUCCAUGUGUAGCGGUGAAAUGCGUAGAGAUAUGGAGGAACACCAGUGGCGAAGGCGACUUUCUGGUCUGUAACUGACACUGAGGCGCGAAAGCGU
rnacentral:rRNA from 1 species